UUGAACGCUGGCGGCAUGCUUUACACAUGCAAGUCGAACGCGAAAGGGGGGCAACCCCUGAGUAGAGUGGCGCACGGGUGAGUAAUACAUCGGAACGUGUCCUGUAGCGGGGGACAACCCCGAGAAAUCGGGGCUAAUACCGCAUACGCCCUGAGGGGGAAAGCGGGGGACCUUCGGGCCUCGCGCGAUUGGAGCGGCUGAUGUCGGAUUAGCUAGUUGGUGGGGUAAAGGCCUACCAAGGCGACGAUCCGUAGCUGGUCUGAGAGGAUGAUCAGCCACACUGGGACUGAGACACGGCCCAGACUCCUACGGGAGGCAGCAGUGGGGAAUUUUGGACAAUGGGCGCAAGCCUGAUCCAGCCAUGCCGCGUGAGUGAAGAAGGCCUUCGGGUUGUAAAGCUCUUUCAGACGGAAAGAAAUCGGGCGCGUGAAUAGCGUGCCUGGAUGACGGUACUGUCAGAAGAAGCACCGGCUAACUACGU
rnacentral:rRNA from 1 species